GACGAACGCUGGCGGCGUGCCUAACACAUGCAAGUCGAGCGAUGAAGCUUCUUCGGAAGUGGAUCUAGCGGCGGACGGGUGAGUAACACGUGGGCAACCUGCCUCAUAGAGGGGAAUAGCCUCCCGAAAGGGAGAUUAAUACCGCAUAAAAUUAUCGAGUGGCAUCACAUGAUAAUCAAAGGAGUAAUCCGCUAUGAGAUGGGCCCGCGGCGCAUUAGCUAGUUGGUGAGGUAACGGCUCACCAAGGCGACGAUGCGUAGCCGACCUGAGAGGGUGAUCGGCCACAUUGGGACUGAGACACGGCCCAGACUCCUACGGGAGGCAGCAGUGGGGAAUAUUGCACAAUGGGGGAAACCCUGAUGCAGCAACGCCGCGUGAGUGGUGAAGGUCUUCGGAUUGUAAAGCUCUGUCUUUGGGGACGAUAAUGACGGUACCCAAGGAGGAAGCCACGGCUAACUACGUGCCAGCCGCCGCGGUAAAAC
rnacentral:rRNA from 1 species